ACGUGUGAUGACUUAAACAAUCUUCACUUUGACCUGAAUGUCUAGUGAUGAAAUUACUCUGUCUGAUG